rnacentral:rRNA from 1 species
GGCGGCUUCGCAGCCCACUCUGAGCGUAGUAAUCAACUGUUUCUCGCUCCUGCAGUGGCCGCGGCAGCCCGCCGUAAAACCCCCCCUAUAACUUAGUGGUUGACCUCGGAUUAGGUAGGAAUACCCGCUGAACUUAAGCAUAU